rnacentral:rRNA from 1 species
GAUGAACGCUGGCGGCGUGCUUAACACAUGCAAGUCGAACGAUGAAGCCCAGCUUGCUGGGUGGAUUAGUGGCGAACGGGUGAGUAACACGUGAGUAACCUGCCCUUAACUCUGGGAUAAGCCUGGGAAACUGGGUCUAAUACCGGAUAGGAGCGUCCACCGCAUGGUGGGUGUUGGAAAGAUUUAUCGGUUUUGGAUGGACUCGCGGCCUAUCAGCUUGUUGGCGAGGUAAUGGCUCACCAAGGCGACGACGGGUAGCCGGCCUGAGAGGGUGACCGGCCACACUGGGACUGAGACACGGCCCAGACUCCUACGGGAGGCAGCAGUGGGGAAUAUUGCACAAUGGGCGCGAGCCUGAUGCAGCGACGCCGCGUGAGGGAUGACGGCCUUCGGGUUGUAAACCUCUUUCAGUAGGGAAGAAGCGAAAGUGACGGUACCUGCAGAAGAAGCACCGGCUAACUACGUG